GGGAGUAAUGCGAGCGAAGUGGAUAAUAGUUGCUCGAGCUCGCCCGCUGCCUCUCAAGCCAUGCUGGGCCCGAUAGGCUCAGCUAGUCGUGUAUUUACCCAUAUCCGGGCUAGAGAGGAAAAGAGAAAAGUUUCAUUUAAACCUGAACUAAAAACUUUCACCAUGAAAGCACACAGCAGGAGCAGGCCCAGAGCGUAAGGCGUGCCCGGCCCGGCGCUCCGGCGGGGCCUGCGGAGGGGGAGGGGGUCGCGGCUUCCCGGCGGGCCGCGUGGAUGCGCACAGGAGGGGCCGCGGCCUGAAAAGUGGGGGUUAUUGUCUCCCCCCGCCCCCCGCCCGGCCUCGCCACGCCGCGGCGAUCAUGGCCGCGCGGGCAGCAGCGGCGG
rnacentral:lncRNA from 1 species